rnacentral:rRNA from 1 species
AGGAUGAACGCUAGCGGCAGGCCUAAUACAUGCAAGUCGAACGGUAAGUAGAGUAGCAAUACUUUACCAAGAGUGACGCACGGGUGCGUAACACGUAUGCAACCUACCCUUUACAGGAGUAUAGCUCGGGGGAAACUCGAAUUAACACUUCAUAGUAUAAUUGAAUGGCAUCAUUUGAUUAUUAAAUCUGAGGAGGUAAAGGAUGGGCAUGCGUCUGAUUAGCUAGUUGGUAGUGUAAUGGACUACCAAGGCGAUGAUCAGGUAGGGAACUGAGAGGUUGACUCCCCCACACUGGCACUGAGAGUACGGGCCAGACUCCGUACGGGAGGCAGCAGGUAGGGAAUAUUGGU